AUCUGGUGGUGGGGGAAACUAGCGCAUAGUUUUUUAAAUCUCUCCCACUAUUCAUAUAGGCUCUCUCCACUGAGUUGUUUAAUGCCUGAAAUAUCCUUUCUGAUGGU
rfam:Glycine max cultivar Williams 82 chromosome 9, whole genome shotgun sequence.